AUACUAACCUGGCAGGGGAGAUACCAUGAUCAUGUACGCUGUUUUCCGAGCGUGAGGCUCAUCCUUGGUAUUCCAGAUGGGCUGACCCCUGAGAUGUCCCCAAAUGCGGGAAACUCAACUGCAUAAUUUGUGGUAGUGCAGGACUUGUUUGCACUCACCCCUGGG
ensembl:snRNA U1 U1 spliceosomal RNA